rnacentral:rRNA from 1 species
GUCAACUGCCAUACAAUGCUGAAAGUACCUGAUCUCAUCCGAUCACCGAAAUCAAGCAGCUCGGGCGCGGUCAGAACCUGACAAGGUGACCACCUGGGAGCACCGCGUGCUGUUGACA